CUCUUUUACUCCCUCUCUCAUUCUCCCAUCCCUCUUUCUCUCCCUCUCUCUAUCCUCUUUCUCUCUGUUUAACUCUUGUCUCCUCUCCUUUGCCUUGUUAUCACUGCAGACAAAGAAACUUUAUACACACACACACACACACACACACACACACACACACACACCCAGAGGCACAUUGAGUUAUUUCUGCAACACACUCUUUUAACAAAAAUACCAACCAAAUGCCACCCAAACCAAGCAAUCUGCUGCUAUAUGCAUAACAAAAGGGCCUAACGUAUCCAUCAUUUAAUUUGGACCUUUAGAUCGUUCAAUACUGACUGGUGAUUGUGUGAAUGGGACAGAUUGCUGUUGUAAGACCCUCUGGAAGAAUCGGAUUGGCAGACAAUGAUCAUGUUCAUUCUAAGGGUCGUUCUAAGGAAUCAAAAUUAAUAUAGUUUCACAUUGUGUCAAUGUUUUUCACUUUCUUCCCAGAAGUUUGCUGUGAUGGGGGGGGGGGGGUCACAGUCCUUUAAAAACCUUGGGUCAUCAAACUUUCUCUGGAAGUGAACAUGAGACCUAAGACAGCUGCAGUUGCUCUAAGUUCUUACUGUUAUUUAUGUGACUUGGGGUUAGAAGAGCAUCUGCAUCGAACUAUAGACUGAUACCAACUGUUGUUGUCUUAGUUUGUUAUCAGUUAGAUUUUCUGGGUUUCGCGCACAACUAGAGUUAGAAGAUACUCUGCUGCUGUUUAACUGACUCUCUCUCUCACACACACCAUCUCUCUGUGCCAACUAUGUGUGUGUGAGAGAGAGGGGGGUUAUUGACUUUUCCUGUGUGGAAAAUAACCAGGAUUCUGACAGUACUGCGGGAUUACUACAGCCAUAGAGUACUGAUCCUCUUCCUGCUCUGUCUCCCUAUUGGAAUCUCUCUAUUGUCUAGAUUUGAUCAAUUUGUGUGUGUGUGUGUGUGUGUGUGUGUUGUAGGACAGUGGAGUUGUGUACGUUUUUUGGCGUCUAGUCUGGAGAAUAACAGGAACACUUCUUAGGUUCCUCCUUCCUGUGAGGUCAGAGGUCAGGAGGAAGUUGAUCAUGUGUCAUAUCUCACCAGACAUUCCUCCAUGUUUGUUUUCUCUGGGAGUCAUCUGGAACUUUCUAUCUAGCCAGAUGAGAAUGUGAAACAAUGUUAUCCCCUCUUCUUCUUUCUCUCUGACCGCGCUGCCCAUUCUGUUACUGAAGACCGACCCCCUCGGCCAAGAUAACUGCGGGGGGUUAAAGAAGACGGACUAUGGACUCUGCUUCCUGUAUCUGCCCAUGCACAGCCCUCUGAGUCUGUGCAACAUCGCUGUUCUUCCUACAUCGCUGAGGAAGGUCAAGAUGUGUGCUACAAACUCACCUCUUCCGAAGAGAAUGCUUGAAUCAGUUUUCCUUUGGGUUCAUUAAAACAUCUCCAGUACCACUGGAUCCCAGCUCAGCCCACUCUCUGGAGAGAGGAACAAUCUUGGUUCAACUCAACCCUUGGCUACAAUAACACUGUAGCAGAAACCUUACUGGAAUAAAACUGGAGAUGACUACAA